AUGGCUCGCUUCGCCGUGGUCGCCGCCGUCAUCGCGGUCCUCGCCGUCGCCGCCGCCGCUCAGGGCCCCAUGCCGGCGCCCAGGAUGGCCCCGCUCCCCGCACCGCCGGCGAGGUCCCCGGCCACCGCCCCUGCGCCGGUCGCCACCCCGCCCACCGCCGCGUCGCCGUCCCCGAUGGCCUCUCCCCCGGCCCCGCCCACCGACGCGCCGACCGACGCUCCCUCGGCGAUGACGCCGUCCGCGGUCUCCGCCACGCCCACCGGCGCCCCCACCGCCACCCCCGCGAGCUCCGCCGUGUACUCAUCCGCCGCCAGCUUCGUCGCCGUCGCCGGCGCGGUCGCCGCCGCCAUCAUGUUCUAG
rnacentral:rRNA from 1 species